GAUGAACGCUGGCGGCGUGCCUAAUACAUGCAAGUCGAGCGAACGGACGAGAAGCUUGCUUUUCUGAUGUUAGCGGCGGACGGGUGAGUAACACGUGGAUAACCUACCUAUAAGACUGGGAUAACUUCGGGAAACCGGAGCUAAUACCGGAUAAUAUUUUGAACCGCAUGGUUCAAAAGUGAAAGACGGUCUUGCUGUCACUUAUAGAUGGAUCCGCGCUGCAUUAGCUAGUUGGUAAGGUAACGGCUUACCAAGGCAACGAUGCAUAGCCGACCUGUGAGGGUGAUCGGCCACACUGGAACUUGGACACGGUCCAGACUCCUACGGGAGGCAGCAGUAGGGAAUCUUCCGCAAUGGGCGAAAGCCUGACGGAGCAACGCCGCGUGAGUGAUGAAGGUCUUCGGAUCGUAAAACUCUGUUAUUAGGGAAGAACAUAUGUGUAAGUAACUGUGCACAUCUUGACGGUACCUAAUCAGAAAGCCACGGCUAACUACGUG
rnacentral:rRNA from 1 species